UACGAAGGGGGCUAGCGUUGCUCGGAAUCACUGGGCGUAAAGAGCGUGUAGGCGGCCAGACAAGUCUGCUGUGAAAACUAGAGGCUCAACCUCGAGCUGUCGGCGGAAACUGUCUGGCUAGAGUCCGGAAGAGGAGAGUGGAAUUCCUGGUGUAGCGGUGAAAUGCGCAGAUAUCAGGAAGAACACCUAUGGCGAAGGCAGCUCUCUGGGACGGUACUGACGCUGAGACGCGAAAGCGUGGGGAGCGAACAGG
rnacentral:rRNA from 1 species